GCAUCCUACUCGCCGUUUCGCCACAAUGUCAGCAGCACGCCUGAUCUCCCUCACCGCUUUCUGCAUAACGCUUUUCCAGUCUGGGAGUGCUCAGCUGGGAGAGUCUAAAGUGAACGCCAGACCUUAUGAAAUCCUGCUGAGGCAAAAUCUGGUUCUUCUUCUAAGUGUUCUGUCUACACUGUUGUUGUUCAUGAUUGGUAUGGCAGUAUGUGUCUACAAACCUCUCCGACGCAGGUGACUGACUGGCCCAAUGUGGAUUCAAGACGCCUGGAGUUGAACAUUACUAUGGCGAAGGCCUGAUUCUGAAUAUUAAUGAGCCAAGCUUUCGCUAUUGGACACAAACAGCGCAACGUCAACACGAACUACUAAAUAUUCUGGAUGCAGGGUUACUAUUGGAAGGUUACGAAUCAACGUCAGCUCGACCAAAUGAAUAUUCAAAAUACAAUUAGAAACAGAGUCCUCAAAUCAUAAAAUCCAAUCAAACGAGAGUAGAACUUUAACUGUAAAGUUAAACAUUAUAAUUUAAGUUUUUAAACUGAAUCACUAUUUUAAACAUGUUUAGGAUUGUUUGAUUAUUUGCAGCCAUAGAUGUUUACAUUAGAUGUCGCCUACAAUUUAUGUUGUAUUGAAGGAAUGUGUUAAUAGAGCUGCCAUUUUAGUACAGGGUAGAGCUCCUUUGAAACGAAUGUGGGACCAAGGUGCAGUAGAGGACUGGUCAUGAUUUAUGGUGGACAGUAUGCACAGUGUGGCGCAGGCACUGUUAUGUUAGGCAGCCUUAUAGAUUACUUCAAAAACAGCCAUUACUUCACUUAGCCGACAAUAAUACAAGUUUCUAGCACCACAGUGUCUUGUUCUCAUAUUUUAUUUACAUUGUUUGCUGAUUUUAUUCAACAAAACUAGCAUACGCCUAGGAUUUAGCUGUUUUUUCAGUGCAGUAAGUGUCAUCAAUAACAUUACUACACAAAAGUUUUUAACAUACAAAAUUAUAAAAAAUGAAAUCUUUCCAAUUUAAUUUUAUGUUUUGUUUGCUUGUUACUACACCUGUACACUGUGCAAAAGUCCAGCAUCUUCAGAUCGGCUUUAGUCUUGACUGGUGCGGUUGAAUGACUUUUGUCCUUGGAGCACUGUACCAAUAUGGCGACGUUAUUGAUGCAUGCUCAGAGUCCCUAUGAGAUAUCUAGUGUAUAUAUCUGCUGCUAAGCUAUUAAAUUGUUUACAGUGUGAUUUUUUUUUAUGUAUGAUUUGAUACUAUUUUUAUAUUUUUAUGUGAUUAUAUUGUAUUUAUAUUAUUAAGUUUAUCUGAAUGGUUUUGACAUGUCUGAACUAAUAAAUGAAAGUCGAAACCU
rnacentral:lncRNA from 1 species